CAGUUGGUUAGCGCGCCGCCCUGUCACGGCGGAGGUCGCGGGUUCAAGUCCCGUCA
rnacentral:tRNA from 1 species